GCCUCUUGGGGAGGAUGUGAAUGUAUUUGUGCAUUAACCCCGAAGUACAGGCGCACUCUUUCUGAUCCAGUAGAGAUGUAAUUAUUUAUACAAACUGACAUGACACAAUUAGGGACAAUGAAUCAAGCUCAAGAUACUCAGUGUCUCAGUGGCUGAGAUACUUCCCCAGCGGUGGGAAAGGUAUCCUCCAUUCCAAAAGAGUGUUCUAUGCAAGAGCCUCCCCUGGCUGCAAUGUAUCUUUGAAUAUGGCUUCAACCAACACCUCAGCUCUCAACAUUUUCAAAGUACUCGUGGAUAGAGCUCUGUGCUGUUAGAAGAAUAAAGGCUUUUACUACAGUGAAAGCAAUUGUAGCUGCUUUUACCUCCUCCCACUGGACAAUUCACUUCUUAGCAAUUUGUUUCUGUUUGUUUUAUUUCUCCAGACCAGAUCUCUGAUCCCGGCUCUUUAAGUCUGGCCAAACCAAGCAGCCCAGUUCCUUUGGCAAACGUCAUUUGUUGGUGCCUGCUACUGAUUACUUUUCCCAGGACAGACAUCACUCUGUGCACUGAUAAAGAGCGAGAAGAUCAGCCGGUCUUACAGCUGUGGGCGUUGUUGGAGCUGCAGACAAGCUGAGCAUAAGAUGCUGCAGGUGAGAUGGGACAGUGCUGGGCUCUGAGUAGGGGACGGAACGGAGGGAGGCUGUU
rnacentral:lncRNA from 1 species